rnacentral:rRNA from 1 species
UAAUACGUAGGUGGCGAGCGUUGUCCGGAUUUACUGGGCGUAAAGGGCUUGUAGGCGGUCUGUUAAGUCUGGUGUGAAAUCUCCCGGCUCAACUGGGAGAGGUCAUCGGAUACUGGCAGACUGGAGGUGGGCAGAGGAAAGCAGAAUUCCCGGUGUAGCGGUGAAAUGCGUAGAUAUCGGGAGGAAUACCAGUGGCGAAGGCGGCUUUCUGGGCCUAUCCUGACGCUGAGGAGCGAAAGCGUGGGGAGCAAACCGGAUUAGAUACCCGGGUAGUCCACGCCCUAAACGGUGGAUGCUAGGUGUGGGGGGUGUCGACCCCCUCCGUGCCGCAGCUAACGCUUUAAGCAUCCCGCCUGGGGAGUACAACCGCAAGGUUA